UACGUAGGGGGCAAGCGUUGUCCGGAAUCAUUGGGCGUAAAGCGCGUGUAGGCGGCUUAGUAAGUCUGCUCUGAAAGCCCGGGGCUCAACCCUGGGAGGCGGGUGGAUACUGCUGAGCUUGAGUCCGGAAGAGGCGAGUGGAAUUCCUGGUGUAGCGGUGAAAUGCGCAGAUAUCAGGAGGAACACCAAUGGCGAAGGCAGCUCGCUGGGACGGUACUGACGCUGAGACGCGAAAGCGUGGGGAGCAAACGGG
rnacentral:rRNA from 1 species